AUUAUGGAGAGUUUGAUCCUGGCUCAGGAUGAACGCUGGCGGCGUGCCUAAUACAUGCAAGUCGAGCGAACAGACGA
rnacentral:rRNA from 1 species